GCUACUGCUUUGAAGAGGAAGAGUAAAGCGUUCCCAGUCAAAAGAGAGAAGGCGCCACCGGCUGAAAGCACCUUUAGUUAUGGACGUUUGAAAACUGCCUUGGAGCAGGGACAUUAGUAGCGUCAGUGAAAAUGUCUUCGCAUGUCAGCGUUAAAGGCAAAGAGAUGGCCUGCUAAUUGGCGGCCAAAUUAGGUGGAACCGCGAGUAGAACCCUCGUCCUAUGU
rnacentral:ncRNA from 1 species